GCCCGGAUAGCUCAGUCGGUAGAGCAUCAGACUUUUAAUCUGAGGGUCCAUCGUUCAACUCCUUGUUCGGGCG
rnacentral:tRNA from 1 species